GAUGAACGCUGGCGGCGUGCUUAACACAUGCAAGUCGAACGAAGCUGCUUAACUGAUCUUCUUCGGAAUUGAUGUUUUGUAGACUGAGUGGCGGACGGGUGAGUAACGCGUGGGUAACCUGCCCUGUACAGGGGGAUAACAGUUAGAAAUGACUGCUAAUACCGCAUAAGACCACAGCACCGCAUGGUGCAGGGGUAAAAACUCCGGUGGUACAGGAUGGACCCGCGUCUGAUUAGCUAGUUGGUGAGGUAACGGCUCACCAAGGCGACGAUCAGUAGCCGGCUUGAGAGAGUGAACGGCCACAUUGGGACUGAGACACGGCCCAAACUCCUACGGGAGGCAGCAGUGGGGAAUAUUGCACAAUGGGGGAAACCCUGAUGCAGCGACGCCGCGUGAGUGAAGAAGUAUCUCGGUAUGUAAAGCUCUAUCAGCAGGGAAGAA
rnacentral:rRNA from 1 species